UCGCCCGCCGCGCCCCGCGCCCGGCCCGCCGCCCCCGCCCCCAGCCGCCGCGGUAAUACGGAGGAUCCGAGCGUUAUCCGGAUUUAUUGGGUUUAAAGGGUGCGCAGGCGGGAGAUUAAGUCGGCGGUGAAAUUUUGCAGCUCAACUGUAAAAGUGCCUUCGAAACUGGUUUCCUUGAGUGUAGAUGAAGUAGGCGGAAUUUGUGGUGUAGCGGUGAAAUGCAUAGAUAUCACGAGGAACUCCGAUUGCGCAGGCAGCUUACUAAACUACUACUGACGCUCAGGCACGAAGGCGUGGGGAUCAAACAGGAUUAGAUACCCUGGUAGUCCACGCAGUAAACGAUGAUUACUAGCUGUUUGCGAUACAAUGUAAGCGGCUGAGCGAAAGCGUUAAGUAAUCC
rnacentral:rRNA from 1 species